UUGGAGGGCAAGUCUGGUGCCAGCAGCCGCGGUAAUUCCAGCUCCAAUGGCGUAUAUUAAAGUUGUUGCAGUUAAAAAGCUCGUAGUUGAAUUUCGGGAUCAGUUGGUCGGUCGUGCCUCGGUACGUACUGGUCAAAUUGAUUCCUACCUUCUGACGAACCACGAUGUCAUUAAUUUGGUGUCGCGGGAAAUCAGGACUGUUACUUUGAAAAAAUUAGAGUGUUUAAAGCAGGCUCGCGCUUGAAUACAUUAGCAUGGAAUAAUGAAAUAGGACGUUUGAUUCUAUUUUGUUGGUUUCUAGGAUCGACGUAAUGAUUAAUAGGGAUAGUUGGGGGCAUUAGUAUUCAAUUGUCAGAGGUGAAAUUCUUGGAUUUAUUGAAGACUAACUACUGCGAAAGCAUUUGCCAAGGAUGUUUUCAUUAAUCAAGAACGAAAGUUAGGGGAUCGAAGACGAUCAGAUACCGUCGUAGUCUUAACCAUAAACUAUGCCGACUAGGGAUCGGAUGAUGUUAAUUUUUUAAUGACUCAUUCGGCGCCUUACGGGAAAC
rnacentral:rRNA from 1 species